GAUGAACGCUGGCGGCGUGCUUAACACAUGCAAGUCGAACGGGAUCCAUCAAGCUUGCUUGGUGGUGAGAGUGGCGAACGGGUGAGUAAUGCGUGACCGACCUGCCCCAUACACCGGAAUAGCUCCUGGAAACGGGUGGUAAUGCCGGAUGCUCCAGUUGAUCGCAUGGUCUUCUGGGAAAGCUUUCGCGGUAUGGGAUGGGGUCGCGUCCUAUCAGCUUGACGGCGGGGUAACGGCCCACCGUGGCUUCGACGGGUAGCCGGCCUGAGAGGGCGACCGGCCACAUUGGGACUGAGAUACGGCCCAGACUCCUACGGGAGGCAGCAGUGGGGAAUAUUGCACAAUGGGCGCAAGCCUGAUGCAGCGACGCCGCGUGAGGGAUGGAGGCCUUCGGGUUGUAAACCUCUUUUAUCGGGGAGCAAGCGAGAGUGAGUUUACCCGUGAAUAAGCA
rnacentral:rRNA from 1 species